GAUGAACGCUGGCGGCGUGCCUAAUACAUGCAAGUCGAGCGAACAGACGAGGAGCUUGCUCCUCUGACGUUAGCGGCGGACGGGUGAGUAACACGUGGAUAACCUACCUAUAAGACUGGGAUAACUUCGGGAAACCGGAGCUAAUACCGGAUAAUAUAUUGAACCGCAUGGUUCAAUAGUGAAAGACGGUUUUGCUGUCACUUAUAGAUGGAUCCGCGCCGCAUUAGCUAGUUGGUAAGGUAACGGCUUACCAAGGCAACGAUGCGUAGCCGACCUGAGAGGGUGAUCGGCCACACUGGAACUGAGACACGGUCCAGACUCCUACGGGAGGCAGCAGUAGGGAAUCUUCCGCAAUGGGCGAAUGCUUGACGGAGCAACGCCGCGUGAGUGAUGAAGGUCUUCGGAUCGUAAAACUCUGUUAUUAGGGAAGAACAAAUGUGUAAGUAACUAUGCACGUCUUGACGGUACCUAAUCAGAAAGCCACGGCUAACUACGUG
rnacentral:rRNA from 1 species